GGAUUAGAUACCCUGGUAGUCCACGCCGUAAACGAUGGAUACUAGCUGUUGGGCUUCGGCUCAGUGGCUAAGCGAAAGUGAUAAGUAUCCCACCUGGGGAGUACGUUCGCAAGAAUGAAACUCAAAGGAAUUGACGGGGGCCCGCACAAGCGGUGGAGCAUGUGGUUUAAUUCGAUGAUACGCGAGGAACCUUACCAGGGCUUAAAUGUAAGUUGCAUGAUUUAGAGAUAGAUCUUUCUUCGGACUACUUACAAGGUGCUGCAUGGUUGUCGUCAGCUCGUGCCG
rnacentral:rRNA from 1 species